UAUGUUUUAGUAUAUGAUGUACACUAGAUUUUGAUUCUUGAGGAGAUAGUUUGAAUCUAUUAAAUGUAA
rnacentral:tRNA from 1 species